AGUAUAUAUUGAAACAUAGCGUAAUGAGGCUUAUCGUGUUCCUACUACUGGCUCUACCUUUGGCGACUUGUAGGAAAAUUGGAAGAAGUAUUAAAUCUAAAAUUUAAUUAAAGUGGUUUUUGUCCCAUGCUUUGUUUUUUCAUUUGCAAAGACUGCGCUACUUUUUUUGCGACUCAAUGUAAAAGUAAAUAUAAUAAACGAGACAGUGUUUCGAUUCUGUACUAUUUGAUUUUCAGCAAUGCAGCACGGCUGAAUGCCAAAAAGAAGCCGUCGAUGCCUACAGAAGCGAGUAGUCAAAAUAACAUAAUUUAUUCAUAAUUAUAUUUAUUUUCCGCAUUUCAGCGUGUAAUCCAACCGGAGUGUGUUGGCGAUCAUUAGUUUACGAUAAUGUAGAAAUUUUAACUUAGAUUUCAAUAUAAAACGGAAUUAUAAAUGUCAGUACAACUUAGACAAUUAAAAUUAAUAUAGAUUAAUUGGAAAGAAAUAUAUGGCAGCUAAACAGACACAUAUUGGAUCUCUUACGCAUAUCGUUGUUUGCUUGCCAUCGCCCCUUCUUCCCGUUCGUCAUUUUUCUGAGGAAGGCUUGUCUGCGUCUUAAGUUCGAUCGUCGCCGUUGUAUUGGUUUGCGGUCCCGCUGCCACAGUGAACUGACUGCAGCGCAUUUCUGUUAAAUCUCUCCUUAACUCACCCAAUCGCAUACAAAUAUACAUGGAAAUACAAAAACUU
rnacentral:lncRNA from 1 species